rnacentral:rRNA from 1 species
AAUGGGUCAGCGACUUAUAUUCUGUAGCAAGGUUAACCGAAUAGGGGAGCCGAAGGGAAACCGAGUCUUAACUGGGCGUUAAGUUGCAGGGUAUAGACCCGAAACCCGGUGAUCUAGCCAUGGGCAGGUUGAAGGUUGGGUAACACUAACUGGAGGACCGAACCGACUAAUGUUGAAAAAUUAGCGGAUGACUUGUGGCUGGGGGUGAAAGGCCAAUCAAACCGGGAGAUAGCUGGUUCUCCCCGAAAGCUAUUUAGGUAGCGCCUCGUGAAUUCAUCUCCGGGGGUAGAGCACUGUUUCGGCAAGGGGGUCAUCCCGACUUACCAACCCGAUGCAAACUGCGAAUACCGGAGAAUGUUAUCACGGGAGACACACGGCGGGUGCUAACGUCCGUCGUGAAGAGGGAAACAACCCAGACCGCCAGCUAAGGUCCCAAAGUCAUGGUUAAGUGGGAAACGAUGUGGGAAGGCCCAGACAGCCAGGAUGUUGGCUUAGAAGCAGCCAUCAUUUAAAGAAAGCGUAAUAGCUCACUGGUCGAGUCGGCCUGCGCGGAAGAUGUAACGGGGCUAAACCAUGCACCGAAGCUGCGGCAGCGACACUAUGUGUUGUUGGGUAGGGGAGCGUUCUGUAAGCCUGUGAAGGUGUGCUGUGAGGCAUGCUGGAGGUAUCAGAAGUGCGAAUGCUGACAUAAGUAACGAUAAAGCGGGUGAAAAGCCCGCUCGCCGGAAGACCAAGGGUUCCUGUCCAACGUUAAUCGGGGCAGGGUGAGUCGACCCCUAAGGCGAGGCCGAAAGGCGUAGUCGAUGGGAAACAGGUUAAUAUU